rnacentral:sRNA from 1 species
UUCCUAUUCAGUACCUCAGUCUGAAAGUAACACAAAACAAUUUUACAAAAUUCUUCAAAUUUGAAUCUCAUAUUAAAAUUAUUUGAUUUUUCCAUUAUUUCGAAGUUUUUCCCAAAAAGUCGUCGACUAUUUUUCAGCUUUCAUAUAACGAGCUUUUGACUUAAGUAUACAAAAUGUUUGAUGCCCCCGCCCCCACCCCCGCUCCCGGCGCUCCAGCACCAGCACCAGCACCAGCACCAGCACCGGCACCAGCAGCACCUGUUGCAACCACAGCUGGAGUGGACAUUCUACAGAGCAAUUAUUGGCUUACAGCAGGUGCAGUCAUCUUGUAUUCGGCAAGGGCUUUGUAUGUGAAAUUCCGCAAUAUGAGCCUGGGCAAGAUGAGUUCAGACACGGCAGGCCUGGGUAAGGGCGAGGAAUUAGCUCCGAUAGAUAAAUAGUUACAAGCGAAAGGAUGGGAAUACACAAAUGAAUACAAGUAAAAAAAAACAAAUACUUUCGGAAGUCAGCUUUGAGGUGUUGGAGUGCUUGCGAUUUAAGGGGGUCGCAAGUUAAUUUCAACACUAUCUUCUACCCAAGGAUCAUACACAUAAUAAUCACUUAAAUGAUUGCUGUUGUCUAA